rnacentral:rRNA from 1 species
UACGAAGGGGGCUAGCGUUGCUCGGAAUCACUGGGCGUAAAGGGUGCGUAGGCGGGUUUUAAGUCAGAGGUGAAAUCCUGGAGCUCAACUCCAGAACUGCCUUUGAUACUGAAAUCUUGAGUAUGGGAGAGGUGAGUGGAACUGCGAGUGUAGAGGUGAAAUUCGUAGAUAUUCGCAAGAACACCAGUGGCGAAGGCGGCUCACUGGCCCAUAACUGACGCUGAGGCACGAAAGGCGUGGGGAGCCAAACAGGG